rnacentral:rRNA from 1 species
GAUGAACGCUGGCGGCGUGCCUAAUACAUGCAAGUCGAGCGAACGGACGAGAAGCUUGCUUCUCUGAUGUUAGCGGCGGACGGGUGAGUAACACGUGGAUAACCUACCUAUAAGACUGGGAUAACUUCGGGAAACCGUAGCUAAUACCGGAUAAUAUUUUGAACCGCAUGGUUCAAUAGUGAAAGACGGUCUUGCUGUCACUUAUAGAUGGAUCCGCGCUGCAUUAGCUAGUUGGUAAGGUAACGGCUUACCAAGGCAACGAUGCGUAGCCGACCUGAGAGGGUGAUCGGCCACACUGGAACUGAGACACGGUCCAGACUCCUACGGGAGGCAGCAGUAGGGAAUCUUCCGCAAUGGGCGAAAGCCUGACGGAGCAACGCCGCGUGAGUGAUGAAGGUCUUCGGAUCGUAAAACUCUGUUAUUAGGGAAGAACAUAUGUGUAAGUAACUGUGCACGUCUUGACGGUACCUAAUCAGAAAGCCACGGCUAACUACGUG